GUGUACUUAGCUCAAUGGUUAGAGCAUCACUCAUGAAUGCUGAGUAUGUGAGUUUGACUCUCCCAGUACACG
rnacentral:tRNA from 1 species